rnacentral:rRNA from 1 species
UCAGGACAAACGCUGGCGGCGUGCCUCAUACAUGCAAGUCGAACGAGAAACUCUGGCUUGCCAGAGUGGAAAGUGGCGGACGGGUGAGUAAUGUGUAGGAAAUCUGCCCUAGAGUGGGGGACAACAGAGGGAAACUUCUGCUAAUACCCCAUAUGAGCUUGGUUGAAAUACCAAUCUUGAAAACUCCGGUGCUCUAGGAUGAGCCUGCAUCUGAUUAGCUUGUUGGCGGUGUAAUUGACCACCAAGGCGACGAUCAGUAGCUGGUUUGAGAGGAUGAUCAGCCACAAUGGGACUGAGACACGGCCCAUACUCCUACGGGAGGCAGCAGUAGGGAAUUUUGCGCAAUGGGCGAAAAAGCCUGACGCAGCAACGCCGCGUGUACGUUAAACCCCUCGGGGCGUAAAGUACUGUCAGUGGGGACGAAUUUUGACGGUACCCACAGAGGAAGCACCGGCUAACUCCGUGCCAGCCGCAGC